GUAAUCAGUCCUUUCCUCCUGUACUACUCAAAUGCACCAGAGCUUUCCCAUUUACAGCGUGGGCUGAUAAUAAACACAGUAUUUAGGAAUAUAAUUCCAGAUACCGACAGAAAUGUCAAAGAAUCAUUCUUCAAUAAAUCAGUUUACUCUGUUCAAACCUUAAGACUCGUUCUCUGAAUGAUUCGUUCAUGACAGACACGGUUCUCGGGUGAUAGCGUGUAAUGCAGUAACUGAUCUCAAAUUCAACUUAUUGCAAAGUGUUAUAAUUUAAUGUGCUGCUUAUUAAUGUAAAAUGAACAGACCUACUGUAUAUCACCGAAUCAUUUUGUAACGGGGUGUGUUUCAGGAACUACAAAUCCCAUCAGCUUCAGUUCUAUAAAAGGAAGUGAUGAGAUUUGUUCUUCUAUUUCCGCCCUUUGGUUUCCGCUGACGAUUUAUGAAUGCAAGUCGCGCCAGAUCUAAGGUAUGGCAUUGUGACUCUAGAUUAGUAAGUCUUGUGAAAUUAUUGUAUAUGUAGUGAUGUGUUGGAUAAUGCGUUGGCCUUCUGUUUGUUGUACGUCUUCCUGUUCAUUGAAAUGGGAGUCGCGGCUGGUUUACGUGUUGCAUGGUGGCAAUAGACCAAAUGUAAGGAUCGUUUGUGCAGUAACAUGUCAAAGAGUGGAACAUUGUUGAGUGUUGAACACGAUGCAUCGUUAGGAGUAUUGUGGCUGGAUGGUUACCCGAGUGUCAUAACCCAAAAUAACGGAUGGUAGAGAUAUUCUUUUUGACCUGACGGUGGCUGCGGGGUUGCCUUCACUGGUGGAUUGCAGUGGUUUGGUGACCUUAUUUUUCUUUCCUCUUAGGUCUGCAGUGUGAUUUGCCGUGAGCUUGUUUGCAGUGGGAGCACAUUUGUUUGUAUGCCCUUCUUGCCUUCACAACCUAGGUAACCUGUGGCCAUCUGCGGGUUUUGUUUGUUUUUUUUCUAUUUUGUUUUCUUUUUAUUUACUUUUCUUUGUGGGUAAUUGUAUUAAUGGUCUGCAGCAUCCUUUUAACAUAAUGUUUGUUUUCUUUUGAAUAAAUGUUUGUUAAAGCUUCACUACCGCCUUCUGCCUGAUUAUUUCCCUCUUUUGGGUCAUGAUGUUACAAUUUAUUCUGCAGGGUGAUUUACACCACUAACACAAAAUUAUGUUUGCUACUCAAAAGUGUUACGGAGAGCCGUGAAAACCUGAAGUGCACUUCUGCUGUCUGGUCUAAGCAUUUUCCCAUGAACACUGUGCUACAUGAUAUGGGACCUGUCAAAAAUGAUGUAUGCCCCAAAAUACAAGGGCAGAAAAUAAAUAUUUUGGUACAAGCUUGAACAAAGUCUCAAAGGAAGGGCCAACAGUUUAUACUGAAACAAGACUUAACUACAUUCUUAAACAGUUUUCCUUAUAUGUAAAAGUCUCACAUCCUGUUCACACUACAUAAUAAAACCAUGUUUUGCUAUUUGUUCUAUAACAGGUUUAUUUUCCUGUCCCACACCACCAUAUGGAAAACCUUACAGCAAUAAAACAUCAUACACUGUAAAAAGUGAUGUUAA